rnacentral:snRNA from 1 species
CUGCUUGCUUCCUAGCACAGACACUAAAAUUGGCUUGAUAUAGAUAAGACUAGCAGGCCCUACACAAGGAAUGCAUACAUAAUUCCUGAAGCGUUCCAUAUUCCU